rnacentral:lncRNA from 1 species
CUUAGAGUUCUGAUUUCUAUAACAAUUUGGUUGUGCAUUUGUAGUCAAUCCCCAAAUAUAUUUGCUUUUGAGUACCUGAAAGCCUAAUGCUUGCUGCAAGCUCUGGAAGAGGUUUUAAAAAUCCAGUGAUCAUUCAAAGGCGUGAGCAACUCCAGGUGAUGAAGUGACGGAGAAAGAGUUUACGGAGACAUGGCUUUUGAAGUGAGGGAAAAAAGAAAAGCCUGAGGAAAAGAAGAUUUCUCGUAAGCAGUGGAAAAGUUGAGCAAAAAUGCAGGACCUGGCCUGCUAGGGGUGACAGAACCUGUGGCGGACCCCGUGGAGCUACGGAGAAACAUGAGGAAGCUGAGAAGCAGACUCCUUGACAUGGCAACAGUAGAAAUGAGGAGAUGCCAAAGAGACAGAAUCUGGUAACUCUUGAAGAGCCAGCCUGUAAGUGUUCAUGGACAACAUCCUUAUAAAUGAAGUUUUUGCAAAAGAUAGGCAUAGACAAAAAUUCAUGUGGUGCCGUGGGACAGGAUUCACUGAAGAUUUUUAAUAUCAGUUGAAUUUGGAUCUUAGUUUCAAAUAAGUAAGCUGUUUCAAAUAAGGAGAAAAUAAAAUGAGGUCUUCUUUUUGAUGACAAGCUCUGACUUUGGAAUCACACAGACCUGGGCUGGGAGUCGUGCUCCGCCGUUUGCUAGGUUGUGACACAUUGGAUAAAUCGCUCAACUUCUGUAAGCCUCAAUUUCCUCCUUUAGAAAGUAAAAAUAAUAUCUGACAAGACUAUUACAAGAAUUACAUGAGAUGUUGUGAACAACGCCCUUCACACAGGGUCUGGUGCUUAGUCAUUGGUUGUAAAAGAGAAUGUGACAUUGAUCUAUGUCUCCAUUAAAUGGUGUAGGAAAGAAUACAUAUUGUCCUAUGAGUCCAUUCAAGUUUUUAAUUUUGGUCAUUUGGUUUGUUGCUUUCUGGUGAAUGCUACCUACCUUCAUCAAAUCAUUAUGAAGUUUCCAGAGCAAAUUCUCUGUAAUGUAUUCUAAAGAAAAUUGAGAGAAAAAUAAAGCAAACUGAAGUAUGGAAACACAGCUUGGGAGUUCAGAAAAACUAUUUGCUCAUCAUACAUUAAGUUAAAAAUACAGUUGCACAAACAGAU